UGGUUCUUACAUGCUUCCUGAGAUUCCAAGAUGUUAUCAGCGGCUGGAAUUUCUUGGAGAUGCAGUGUUAGAUUACCUUAUCACAGAGUAUUUGUAUGGCAAGUAUCCUGAGAUAUCGCCAGCAGGACUAUUAACUGACAUGAGAUCUGCUUCUGUCAACAAUGACUGCUAUGCAUUUUCAGCUGUUAGGGAAGGACUUCAUAAGCAUAUCCUCCAUUUAUCUCAAAUACUUCACAAGGAUAUAGCUGUUGCAGUAGAAAAUUUUGAGAAUUGUUCUUCAGAAUCAACUUUUGGAUGGGAGUCUGACGUAUCUUUUCCCAAGGUUCUUGGAGAUGUG
rnacentral:misc_RNA from 1 species